GUCACGUCUACGCGUUUCGCCGUGCACAGACAGCUUCGUCAAGACGUUUUGAUCUGCUUCAAACGUCCUGACAAAGCCGUCUGUGCACGGCGAAACGCGUAGACGUGAC